rnacentral:miRNA from 1 species
AGAGCUCCUCAGAUCUGCUGGCU